CCCGCUCAACAUAACUCAGUGUUUCACAAUAUUAUUCGCAUUUGAAAUUCUGUUGCUGAUGAUCUGUGUUAUGGGACAAUUUAAUGUCUUAUUGCUGACAUUAAGGGAUUUCAUGUAAACUAACAUUACUUGUGCUGGAACAGUAAAGGAAAAAACAGGGUAAAAAUGCAGCCUGUGGUGGCCGUAUUCCUUAUUGGAGCCCUGUGCAUGUAUCAGGAUAAUACUGCUGGAGCAGAUAAUGCAUACCCCAUGACAGAAUCUAAUCCUACGCAGAGUACAAUAAAUUACCGCCAAUCUGCUGCCAUGACGACCCCAG